GCAAGUCGAGCGCUACCUUCGGGUGGAGCGGCGGACGGGUUAGUAACGCGUGGGAAUGUACCCUUCUCUAAGGAAUAGCCUCUGGAAACGGAGAGUAAUACCUUAUACGCCCUUCGGGGGAAAGAUUUAUCGGAGAGGGAUCAGCCCGCGUUAGAUUAGAUAGUUGGUGGGGUAACGGCCUACCAAGUCUACGAUCCCUAGCUGGUCUGAGAGGAUGAUC
rnacentral:rRNA from 1 species